ensembl:lncRNA
AUGGACAGGGAGGACGCUGGUGGGCUACAGUGCUCGUGCCCCACACCACGAAGUUCUGGGUGGUCUCGCAGCUACAUGUGUUCGGCGCAUCCAGCCGGGUGCUCCGGGGAGCGCGACGUGGCGAGGACUGCUGUUUCUAAUUACUGCAGAAUCAGGAGGCAAAGGCGAGAAGCACUGCCAGCCUGGUGGGCCGCUGUGGAAACAGACGGUCGCAGUUAUUGGGUUCCUGGGGCUGGCAGGGCCUGGCCGCCUGACUGGUCACUAGGAAGUGAGGGUUUGCUUUUCCCCAAAACUCAACAUCUGAAUAAUUGAAGGGGACACCACAAUCAAUCUAUGCUGUAGUGUGCUCUUGGUUUUGCACUAAGUGCUGGGGCUGGGUGGACGCAGGGGUGGAAAGGGGGUGGUGGGGAGUAAGGAUAAUAUAAGUAGUAAUGAACACAGCUCUGCCCUUCUAGAAGCUUCCAUGAUAGGUAGGGACCAAAGACAAAGUAGCUCAAUUCAUCCAUCUGAUGGCUUUAUUGAGAGCUGCCCUUGUGGAGUUUAUAGUCAGUGGGGGAGAGAGAGAGGAAUCCAAUGUUAUCACACUUAUACAGCUGCUAAUAGUCAAUGCAGUGCAAAGUCAGGAGCUAGUAGGGCAUAAAUGGGGACCUGGUUUGUCCAGGGGUCAAAGGAGGAUCUCCAGAUGAAGGGGGGCUAUAAGCUCCAUCAUGAGCAUGGAAAAGAGAGGUUACUCUAAGGAAGAGUUUGGAAAGAAUUAAAAAAGCUGUGUGGACAUAUGCAGGGGUGAAGAACAGGGGUGUUAAAGAUGACUAGAUGAUUUCUAAGUUUCCAACAAGAGUACCUGAAAAUCAAAGAUGCUCUUGUCAGACCGGGAGGUUGGGGGAUGGGGAGUCCAUUUGCAGGGAAAGCAGUAUAGAAUGGGGCUUCCCAGUUGGUGCUAGUGGUAAAGAACCCUCCUGCCAAUGCAGGUAGAUAUAAGAGACACAGGUUUGAUCCCUGGGUCGGGAAGAUCCCCCGGAGGAGGGCAUGGCAACCCACUCUAGUAUUCUCUCCUGAAGGAUCCAUGGACAGAGGGGCCUGGUGGGCUGCAGUCCAUGGGGUCUCAGAGAGUCGGACGCAACUGAGCAAUGUAGCACACGUGCGUGUACAGCACAGAGCGUGGCAGCUCAGAGGCCAGAGGGAGGGACUGGAGGGUCUUCGGGAGACUGGGAGUCAAGGAGGGGCAUGGUGUGACUUCUAUGUGACAAGCAUGCUGGGAAUGCUGUGUGGAGACAGACUGUUAUGUAGGGGGAAGGGGGCAGAGGGAGCAGAUAGGAGACUAAAGCAGUGAUCCAGGUGAGGGGUGAUGGCGAUCUGGACUAGAGUGGAAGCUGGGGACGUAAUGAGAAGAGGUCAGAUUCCAGAGGAGUUUGAAGGCUGGGUAAUUGCUAAUGGAUCUAGCUGACUUGUUUCUGGAUCUUUGUGUUCAGUUUGCUGACAGAGGGAGUCUUAUGGGCCCAGAGCAGCCUCUUAAUGAACCAAGCAGAGGCAGAAGGGCAGGACAAGUGGUACUGAGCGACACUCAGGCAAGCGAGUGAACUAAGCAAGACGUGGGGCACGGUUGGACUGUUUCCUUCACUCGGGCCAAAUCAUUUAAUGAUGUUCACAGGAGCCGGAGAGGGAGGGGUUGUUAUUCCAGUCUUCCAUUUCAAAAACAGGGGCUCAGAGAGAUGAAUCACUUGCUGAGGAAGACAGCUGGAAAAAAGGAAGAGACUGGAUUUGACCUUUGGGAUCCUGUCUGAUUCUGAAGACUGUGGUGUAACUGCCAAGUCAGGCUCCCUGGGGCAUAAAGAGAAAUGCCCAGGAGGAGGCA